AUCUCCUGGAUGGCAGCGGAGAGCCCCUGCCGUGUUCAUUAUCAACCCUUUUAAAUAAUAACCAGAUUUCCAACAACACCACCGACGUGAGUCCUUUGUCUGGAGGAGCCCAAAAUAAGUCAGCUAGGUGGAGUUUGGCAGCCAUACCAGCAAUCAUCCACACACACUCCCAUGGUGACCUGUUUGUCAAGUUAAUUUAAGAACGGUUUCCAAGGAAGGGUCGAGUAAGCAACACAAGCUUUCAAGAAGUUGUGGGGGUGGUUGGGGUGUUGAUUGGGGCAGUGGUCUGGGCCACCUUAGUUCAUGAGUUCAGCGAGACAAGACUUCUGCUUGUCUGCCAGACGAACAGGGAGCUGAGGAAGUGGAGCAGAGGCGGUCCAUAUAGGCUCGACCACCUGAUGUCUCUUCAGGCCUGCGACUCUGAUGUGGUUCCAGGAUACGGCCCUCCCUCAAAAGGGAAGCAGCUCAGCCCUUGGUCCAAGCGCUCAUCAUCUGAGGCCUCGACUACUGCAACUCGCUCCCGGCUGGACUCCCUUCCUCCGCCAUCAAACCUUUACAGGGUAUCCAGAACGCAGCAGCACGCCUCGUGUUCAACUUACCAAGAUUUCCUCAUUAACCCCUGUCUUCCGUAACCUCCACGGGCUCCCUGUAGUAGCAUGCAUCAAGAUUCAUGACAAUGUUACUGGCCUACAAGGGUGAACUGGAAAUGCCCCUGCCUACCUCCAAGUCUAAGUCAGACCACACACCACUUGUGCGCUCCGCUCAAUUACCUCAGCUGGACGUCUUGCACUGCCAUCGCUAAGAGCAAGCAAAGGUUGCACAACAAAGUCAAACUUAUUCUCUGUUCUGGCAACGCAAUAGUUCAACGAGCCCCCUGCCGAUGUCAGGAGUGCAGUUGCUCACCAGCUUUCACAAGAGACUUAAAACUCACCUGUUCAGAGUUCACCUGGACGCUGCAUAGCUUCCCUCUUUAUCCCCAACCGCCUUUCCUCCUGCCUUAAUCCUAAAAAAAAAACCUCUUUCGCACUUAUUGUACAUUUGUACGUCCUGUCACUUAACGUAUGCACUUUUUUAUGCGUUAUGUCCUGUUACUUUAAAUUAGCAUUGAGUAGCAUAUUUCCCGAGCUAUCUUUAUGGGAAAAAAGGGAAUGGGUCAACCUAGCAAUUGUAAAUGCUUGGCACUUAAUCUAUGAACUUCCCUACUGUACCGACAGCGUUAAAUUGUUGUUUCUCUAACUUCUGAAAAAAUUUACUUAUUGUUCGUCGCUUUUGAUAAAAGCGUAUGCUAAAUCUAAAUGUUAAUAACAAUUAGCAGUUUGUGCAAGAAUAUGCAAAGUAUGGACCAUGGAAUGUGCAGCGGUUCACAGAUUAAAGUACACAGUUUGUGUUAUGCC
ensembl:lncRNA